rnacentral:lncRNA from 1 species
GAUCACAAGCUCUUUGGUUGCAUCUAUGCAUUAGAAGCAUGGAGACCACUAAUGGAUGCCCUUGAGCUGAUUUAAGCAUCUUCCAUGGACAGGAGCCCUAUGGUUGCAUCUGUGUUAGGAGGAUGGAGAACAAUAAUGGGAGCACUUAAGCUGGUGGAAGGAUCCUGAGAGCUCUGGUUGCAUUCACGUGUUAGGACUGUGGAGACUAUUACUUUUCAGAAUAGAAGCUCAGAGUGAUUUCAGCCUCUAUUGUGAUCAAGGUUAUCAUUUUCAGGUUGGUAUAGGACAGAAACCCAGGUGAGUAAUGACCAAUGUUCCUCUCUUGGUUUGGGUAAUUUACUUAAGUGUUUUCAUUGUAUUCUAAAAAGUAAUAAAUCCAAUCAACAGGUUAGUAAUGGCCCAUUGAUAAAUAU